rnacentral:RNase_P_RNA from 1 species
CGAGCCGGCCGGGCGGCCGCGACGAGGGGCGACUCUCGCCGAGGAAAGUCCGGGCUCCACAGGGCAGGGUGGUCGGUAACGCCGACCCGGGGUGACCCGCGGGACAGUGCCACAGAAAACAAACCGCCACCUCUGGUGGUAAGGGUGAAACGGUGAGGUAAGAGCUCACCAGCGCCCACGGCGACGUGGGCGGCUAGGUAAACCCCACCCGGAGCAAGGUCAAGAAGGAGAGCCGACAGGCCCUCCGCGCAGGUGCUCGAGGGCUGCUCGCCCGAGCCUGCGGGUAGACCGCUGGAGGCCGCCGGCAACGGCGGCCCGAGAUGGAUGGCCGUCGCCCGCCGCAAGGCGGGAACAGAACCCGGCUUACAAGCCGGCUCGUCCG